GUGCUGUGUGAAAGGGGAGUAGGUCAGCACACUCCCUCAGGAGGAUGGAUGAGGCCCUUAGGCCUAAUAGCAUGCACUGGUAAAGUAUUGCCAUUGACUUUGUGGUAUUUAACCACUGUCUUUU